UACGAGGGGGGGCAAGCGUUGUUCGGAUUUACUGGGCGUAAAGGGCGCGUAGGCGGUCGUGACAAGUCACUUGUGAAAUCUCCGGGCUUAACUCGGAACGGUCAAGUGAUACUGUCGGACUAGAGUACAGAAGGGGGCAACUGGAAUUCUCGGUGUAGCGGUGAAAUGCGUAGAUAUCGAGAGGAACACCUGCGGCGAAGGCGGGUUGCUGGGCUGAUACUGACGCUGAGGCGCGAAAGCCAGGGGAGCGAACGGG
rnacentral:rRNA from 1 species